GGAUUGUGGCUUAGUGGUAGAGUGCUUGCCUAAUACGUGUGAGGCACUGGGUUCGAUCUUCAGCACCA
rnacentral:tRNA from 1 species